AUGCUGACACUUCUUGAAUUGGGGAUCUGGAUCCUCCCGGUGACGCGCAUCUUCACGCCAUGCAGGCGCCUAGUUCUCCUACUUGACAACCUCCAGCAGCUGAAGGCAAGCAUCAUGCGCACAAGGUCAUCGUCUCCAGCCCUUUGGAGUCGUCUGGCGAGGCUGCAGACGAUAACCUUCACAUUGUGA
rnacentral:rRNA from 1 species